rnacentral:lncRNA from 1 species
CCGCCCCAAUUUCGUUUAAUCUCAGCCGUUCAAACACCUAGAUCUAACGACCACAAUUCCUCCCCACCAUAAUAUAAAAACCAAAUAUUUAUCUAACCCUAAACCUAAACACCCCUAACCAAACAGCGCCACCCCAACUCCCACACCUUCUGCCCGUCCAAAACUCGCCGGAACACUCACUGAUUCCGGCGAGUUAACUCAUGGUCCCCCUUUCCCUUCUCUCUUUCUUCCACGUGGCCUGACAAAUAACCGAUUUUGGUUCGAAUCCGUGUUUUGUUUUGCUCUCUCAAAUGUGAAUCUAUUUCAACGGUAGAUGAUGGAUGAAGGGUAGGAUAUGAUUAAUGAAAAUUGAUCACACCCCUACAUUUGCCCAGAUUUUUACUAAAAAGAAGGAGAUUUUCGGAAUUUUGGUGGGAUUUUCGAAAUUUUUGAGCUAUAUAUUUGGGUCUUGGACAGAAGUUUUGGGGGGUUCACGGAAACAUUUGGAGAGAAGUUGAGGAAAAACUAGGGUUUAAUUUUGAACUUGAGAGACCUUCUUUUGGUUUUUGCUAUUUCUUUUACUUCAAAAGUCAACAAAAAUAUAGAUCAGAAAAUAUGGUUUGAGCUUAGUUAUUUGUUCAAGUUUGGUUUUACAUUUUAAAAAUUCAGAAAAAGAGGUACUGAAAACACUUCUGUUUCCUAGCUUUUCGAUUUUCAGAUUUAUAUUGCAAAAUGGAGUUCGUUUGAGUGAAGUUCGUCGCUAUUGUUGCCCAUUGUUCGAGUUUUGACUGUGACUGCCAUUUCAUCUUUGUUCGUGUAACGACUGUAUUUUAUUUGUUAAUCGAAAGCAAUUUCAGGUUCAUCUUUCUCCCUUUUCUACUUAUUUUCUAUUGAUUUUCGGCAUCAUGAGGGUCGGGGUUUGAUCGGCUUAUAUAUUGUUUGAUCCGUCACUAUUUUUGGAGAUUAACAAAUGAAACUCAGAUUGUUUUGUGACUGUUAAUGAGAGUGUGUGAUCGUUAUAUCAUUGCUUGCCAUUUUCUUGAAUAUUUCUGCUUGGUUUGGCUGAGUUUACAUGUUAAAAUGAGUUUCUGAAACUAGUCUCUGAUGUUCUCUGUCUGUUAUUGGCUUGGUUAGUUUCGCUUAGUUUCUAAAAAAUUAUACGAAUCCUUGAAUCUUAAUCGAGUCAAUCCCAGUAGUUUGUGCUAGCUUAGUUCAUCAUUCUAUCAUGACUUCUCUGAUGUCGCAAUCUGUAUAACCUCUUGCCCUAUUCUUCCUCAAUGAUUGACUGAUAAUUGCAUAUGGUAACCUUCUUUUCUUGACUUAAAUCUGUCGGCAUCCUUAGUCGACGUUUUGAUUAGUUUGGUUCUGUCUUCUGUUUCUCGGGUUGGCCUCCAAAUUGUGAAUGUACAGAACAUCCAGUGUUUUAAUUCUUGUGUCAAAAGGCUCGUAGAAGAUUGGUAUUGGCAUUUCAGUUACAUGUAGAAUGUUAGUCGGUUAGAUAGGAAUUCUAUGUGUUUGAAUGACUAAUUUUCAAAUCCAAAAAUCAGUUAGCGAUUCUUGUUUGAGUUCGAAGAUAAAAUGAAAGUUUGAUGAAGUGUAACCAUGGGUUCGUGACCUAACUCGAGUUGAUUUUGCCUCUAGCAUGGUAAUCUUCACGGUUGCUAGUUUGAUAGUUACUUCAAAAUGUCAGUUUGUCAUUCAAGUUCCUAUGUCAGUCAAGUUUGAUCGCAUUCUCAGUAGUCUCGUUGUUGAACUUGUUAUUAGUUAUAACUGAUAGAAUUGAAACUAAUAGCUCAAGCGUGUCCAGGCGUUAGUGAAUUUGAGUGUUCUAUUGGAUAUCCCCAUUCCACUGUCAUAAAGAAUGAGAUACAUGGUUGUUUCCUUCUAAAGUCUAUGUCUUUAAACAUCAACUUUGCAAUUUAAGUCCAAAUCACGUCAUAUGACAUCCGUUUUUCACCAAAUUCCACAGAAAUAUCUUAAAUCAUAUUCAAGACCUGUACCGGGUGCCGGAACCAAAAUACGGGCCCGAUACCAUCAUGUUCUAAUCAAAUUUCAUUUCAAAUUUCUUUAAAUAAUUUCAGAAAAUAAUUUUCUUUGAAAAUUCAUUUCUCGGGCUUGGGACCUCAGAAUUCGAUUCCGGACAAAGCCCAAGUCCCAUAUUUUCCUACGGACUCUCCGAGACUGUCAAAUUACGGGUCUGGGUCUGUUUACCCAAAAUAUUGACCGAAGUCAAAUUAGCUCAUUCUAUAAUCAAAACUAAUCGUUUUUCACAGAUUAUCAUAUUUAAGCUUUCCGACUAUGUGUCAGACUGCGCACGCAAAUCGAGGUGACUCUAAAUGAAGUUUUCAAGGCCUCAGAACACGGAG